CCUCGAUCUGUCAGGGGAGGAAAUCUGGGGGAGGCAGGAGGGGAGGACAGAGGACUCCAUGGCAGUCUGCAGAAUGAGAGUAUGACCUAACACAUCCUUUCUUCUUGGAGAGCUGAAUGCAAGUGACAAAUUUACCAAUUAUGAAAUCCCAAAGACUUGAGCUAAUUCUCUGCUGCAAGGUAAUACAAACCAUCACUGAGAAGAGAAAUACUAUAACGGUGGAGAGGAAGAUGAUACUACAUACAUUCUGGCACUGCAUUAGGAGCAGGGACUAUGAAAAAGGAUGAGGAUCCAGUUCACUGGCAGGAUCACAGAUGUUUGUGGACUUGAGCUACACAUAUAAACUAUUUUACAUAAAAGAAGAACCAUGACCGGAAAUUUUAACCACAAUUUAAGCUUAAUCCUCUCCGGAGUUCAGAAACUUCCAUAAUCCUUCUCAACCAUCCUUUGAAGCAGAUGGAUUCCCAUUUUGCAAAUAAAGACAUUGAGGCAUAAGAAGAUUGAUUUGCUCAAAAUCAAACAUGUAGAAAACAAGGUUAGAACAAAUAUUGUGC
rnacentral:lncRNA from 1 species